UGAAAUGGUGAAAUAAUUUGCAGCCUCCUGGGAUUCUCCCAAACUCACUCGAUCAUGCUCAAACCUGGAAAGAAGGGAUGUUCUCGGUAAUACAAUUCAUCAAUUCCCAGAUUCAAAGUCGCAAUCUUUCGAGAAUUUACAGGAACUUACAGCAGGUAAAGUGGCUGCUAAUCUUGAAAGCCCCAGGUCUGUGAUGACUCACUGCAGUGCUGAUAGAGUUAUGUUGAGAAGGCAUUCCUCAAGCCAAGUUCUUCCUUCUGGAAGUAAGAGAUUCUGGUGGAAGAUGUUUGUCUGGAGCCAUAGGAACAUACAUAGACCUAUUUCAAGCAAAUCAACACAGGUGAAUCCUGGUGUGGCUGUAACGCACAAUCCAUACGGAUACUCUUCCGACACCCUUGAACCGAAGCACAAGCAGUCACCAGGAAAUGUGGAAUGAAGAUAGACGAGAGGAUAUUUCGGUUGAGUAAGAACAAGGCUUCUUCGAAAUCUGCAGCUGAUACAAGAUUUGAGUUCUGAUUCUCUCAUUUUAAGGCUCUUCAGGUACCCAAGGGAUGGGAAGCUCUUUGUUUCUGUUGUUUCGGUAGAAAGUGGUAAAGCUAUUGCAAAGUCAAGCAAGGUGCUGUUGCAAAAUGGGAGUUGUCAGUGGUCAGAUAAACACAUUGAAAUUAUAAACACAUAAUAAAGUCAUAAAAAAGUUAAUUACAAUUAAAGACUUUGUUGGCAUUAUCCAUUGAAGCUGUACUCUCUGAUUUUUUACAAUGAAGCAAAGCUACAGAUUUGUACUU